UACGGGGGGGGCAAGCGUUGUUCGGAAUUACUGGGCGUAAAGGGCUCGUAGGCGGCCAACUAAGUCAGACGUGAAAUCCCUCGGCUUAACCGGGGAACUGCGUCUGAUACUGGAUGGCUUGAGUUUGGGAGAGGGAUGCGGAAUUCCAGGUGUAGCGGUGAAAUGCGUAGAUAUCUGGAGGAACACCGGUGGCGAAGGCAGCCCCCUGGGCUAACACUGACGCUCAGGCACGAAAGCGUGGGGAGCAAACAGG
rnacentral:rRNA from 1 species